GCCCCAUCUUUUCCACUCGUGCCUCUCAUUUUCUCCUUUCCCCUCCAUGGCCGCCACGGUGGCCUGCUCCCCUCCCUCCCCUGGCAACCACGGUGGCCUGCUCCCCUUCCUCCCCUGACCACAGCCAGUGCUGCUGCACGCCGAGCCACACCCUCCUCCUCUCUAUUCCCCAACACUAGGCGGCGGCGCCAUGGCAUCGGGGCAGGGCGCGCGCCGAUCGACGUGCGACGCGUCCUUGGGAGGCACUUGGGUGGCGGCGACGUCGUCGGUGUGGAGGCGGUCCAGCAAGCAGGGGGAGGGGCACACCUUCUCUAUUCCCCAUCGGCAGUUGGCUGCGCCAUGGCAUCGGGUGGGGCGCGCGCCGAUCUGCAUACGGAGCGACCUCGGGAGGCAGCUGGGUGGCGGCGACGCCUCCGGCGCGGAGGCGGGACAGCAAGCAGGGAGAGUGAGAGGUCGGAUGCAGCCACCUCGACCACGAGUUCAUCCGCGACCGACGACCAAUCACCAGCGGCUAGAUGCGUCAUCGGGCAGGGGAGGGUGCCGACCUUCGUUCGUGCGUCGUCGGCUACACGGCUACCUCUGCCGUCGGCACGUCGCUGCCAGCUUCGGGCGGUACAAGGAGCGACGGGAGUCCAGGUGAGAAGAAUAGCAUCGCGCAGGCUAACCACCGGCAUCCAGUCCUGACGAGGACAAAAGGCAUAGUCGUGAAUUUUACAGGGGAGUCAAGCAUAUCAGAUGCAUGUUUACAUACAUGGAUUCUAAACGAUGUCGCCAAUAGUUGAGUCACUCCUGGAUGUUUUGAAGCCUUCUGAGAAACCUCAGCAUACUAUGGCACCAGAGAUUCCAUUGAUUUUACUACUUUUCCUAUUUGGAUACAUCUCGCACGGAGGAGAUCAAAAGGUCCAGGUCAUUGUUUUGCUAUGUAUCUGUGGCUUAUGCUGAAACUUUUUCUCAUAACGAUUGUUGGGGGUGUGAACUUAUUAGUGGUUUAUGUUGGAAGCUAGCGAGUUCUCUGAUAAUUUUUCUGAACUGGUGUCUUCUGGCUGAAGUAAUUCCAAUGCGAGAACUGAGCUAAACUUCAUGUUGUACUCAUUGGCAUCAGAGCCAUGUUACGGAAACUGAGUCAUCAUCACAUCAUUUUCAGGAUGGAUGUAGGUACUUAUUCUUCAGAACUAUUUGAUUUCCAUUGAGUAGUCAAAGUCUUCUUUCUUCAUUUUUUCAAAGGAAGCUGAAUAGAAAGCUCCAUCACUAUUUAUCGUAUGGCUACUUAUUUCCCGAGAAAACGAAAGGAUAGGUGA